AGGACGAACGCUGGCGGCGUGCUUAACACAUGCAAGUCGAGCGGAAAGGCCCUUCGGGGUACUCGAGCGGCGAACGGGUGAGUAACACGUGACUAACCUACCCUGGAGUGGGGAUAACUGAGGGAAACCUUAGCUAAUACCGCAUAAUACCUACGGGUCAAAGGAGCAAUUCGCUUCAGGAGGGGGUCGCGGCCGAUUAGUUAGUUGGCGGGGUAAUGGCCCACCAAGACAGUGAUCGGUAUCC
rnacentral:rRNA from 1 species